AACGUACGCUGGCGGCACGCCUAACACAUGCAAGUCGAACGAAGUAGCAAUACUUAGUGGCAGACGGGUGAGUAACAUGUGGGUAUCUGCCCUUUGGCCUGGAAUAACACGAGGAAACUUGUGCUAAUACCGGAUAAGUCUUUACAGAGAAAGCUUUAUGCACCAUUGGAUGAGCCUGCACUUGAUUAGUUUGUUGGUGGGGUAAUGGCCUACCAAGACUGUGAUCAAUAGCUGAUUUGAGAGGAUGAUCAGCCACAUUGGGACUGAGACACGGCCCAAACUCCUACGGGAGGCAGCAGUGGGGAAUCUUGCACAAUGGAGGAAACUCUGAUGCAGCGAUGCCGCGUGAGUGAAGAAGGCCCUUGGGUUGUAAAGCUCUUUCGUCGGGGAAGAAAAUGACUGUACCCGAAUAAGAAGGUCCGGCUAACUUCGUGCCAGCAGCCGCGGUAAUACGAAGGGACCUAGCGUAGUUCGGAAUUACUGGGCUUAAAGAGUUCGUAGGUGGUUGAAAAAGUUAGUGGUGAAAUCCCAGAGCUUAACUCUGGAACUGCCAUUAAAACUUUUCAGCUAGAGUAUGAUAGAGGAAAGCAGAAUUUCUAGUGUAGAGGUGAAAUUCGUAGAUAUUAGAAAGAAUACCAAUUGCGAAGGCAGCUUUCUGGAUCAUUACUGACACUGAGGAACGAAAGCAUGGGUAGCGAAGAGGAUUAGAUACCCUCGUAGUCCAUGCCGUAAACGAUGUGUGUUAGACGUUGGAAAUUUAUUUUCAGUGUCGCAGGGAAACCGAUAAACACACCGCCUGGGGAGUACGACCGCAAGGUUAAAACUCAAAUGAAUUGACGGGGACCCGCACAAGUAGUGGAGCAUGUGGUUUAAUUCGAAGAUACGCGCAGAACCUUACCAACACUUGACAUGUUCGUCGCGACUCUAAGAGAUUAGAGUUUUCGGUUCGGCCGGACGAAACACAGGUGCUGCAUGGCUGUCGUCAGCUCGUGUCGUGAGAUGUUGGGUUAAGUCCCGCAACGAGCGCAACCCUCACUUUUAGUUGCCAUCAUUAAGUUGGGCACUCUGAAAGAACUGCCAGUGAUAAGCUGGAGGAAGGUGGGGAUGACGUCAAGUCCUCAUGGCCCUUACGUGUUGGGCUACACACGUGCUACAAUGGUAUCUACAACAGGAAGCAAGACUGCGAAGUUAAGCAAAUCCCUAAAAGAUACCUCAGUUCGGAUUGCACUCUGCAACUCGAGUGCAUGAAGCUGGAAUUACUAGUAAUCGUGGAUCAGCGUGCCACGGUGAAUGCGUUCCCGGGUCU
rnacentral:rRNA from 1 species